rnacentral:siRNA from 1 species
AUGAUUGUAUGUGUAAACGAUCUC